rnacentral:rRNA from 1 species
AUGAUGAAGCUGCGGUGGUGGCGGGUCGACGCGUCGGAGGUGGCCGCCGUCACGGCCAUGGGCGUCUGGGAGGCCGUCCUGGCCGGCGGCGGCCGGCGCUUCAUCAAGCGCAAGGACAGCGACGCCGGCGAGACCGGUCGGGCGCUGGAGGAGCUGCGGAGCUCCCUGUACAACGAGAUGCACAGCUCGGAGGGGGCCAAGCGCCAGCAGCAGCGGUUCUGCGGCCCGUCCGUCGCGCUCACCUUCAACUUCGCCGUCGCCGUUGGGAUCAUCGUGGCCAACAAAAUGGUGAUGGGGAGUGUCGGGUUCAAGUACCCGAUCGCGCUGUCGCUGAUCCACUACGCGGUCGCGCUGGUUCUCAUGGCGAUCCUCAAGGCGCUGUCCCUGCUGCCGGUUGCGCCGCCUUCCAAGUCGACGCCCUUCUCCUCUCUGUUCGCUCUGGGCGCCGUGAUGUCUCUCUCCACCGGGCUUGCGAACGUGAGCUUGAAACACAAUAGUGUAGGUUUCUACCAAAUGGCUAAGAUUGCCGUGACUCCGACGAUCGUCGCGGCGGAGUUCAUGCUUUUUCACAAGAAGGUUUCCUGUCAGAAGGUUAUCACACUGGCGACGGUGUCAAUCGGAGUGGCCGUGGCCACAGUCACAGACCUAGAGUUCAACUUCUUCGGCGCCUGCGUGGCACUGGCCUGGAUCGUCCCUAGCGCGGUAAACAAGAUCCUGUGGUCGAAUCUGCAGCAGACCGGAAACUGGACCGCCCUCGCGCUGAUGUGGAAGACGACCCCCGUCACCAUAUUCUUCCUGCUGGCGCUGAUGCCUCUGCUGGAUCCGCCGGGCCUGCUGCUGUUCAACUGGAAUUUCAGAAACAGCUGCGCCAUUGUCAUCUCUGCUCUGUUCGGCUUCCUCCUCCAGUGGUCCGGCGCCUUGGCACUUGGCGCGACCUCGGCGCUGUCGCACGUGGUGCUGGGGCAGUUCAAGACCAUCGUCAUCAUGCUCUCAGGCUACCUCAUCUUCCGCUCGGACCCCGGGGUCACCAGCAUCUGCGGCGCCGUCGUGGCCCUCGGCGGCAUGUCCUUCUACACCUACCUGGGCCUCAAGAAGGAGGCGGCGGUGGCCAGCGGAAAGAAGCCGCCGUCGAGAUCAAACUCCUUCUUGGGCAAGCCCGCCGGCGAUGGAGGCAGCUCGGACUACGAGGACUCCGUGUGA